rnacentral:rRNA from 1 species
UACGGGGGGUGCAAGCGUUACUCGGAAUCACUGGGCGUAAAGAGCAUGUAGGCGGAUUGAUAAGUUUGAAGUGAAAUCCUAUAGCUUAACUAUAGAACUGCUUUGAAAACUGUUAAUCUAGAAUGUGGGAGAGGUAGAUGGAAUUUCUGGUGUAGGGGUAAAAUCCGUAGAGAUCAGAAGGAAUACCGAUUGCGAAGGCGAUCUACUGGAACACUAUUGACGCUGAGAUGCGAAAGCGUGGGGAGCAAACGGGAUUAGAUACCCCCGUAGUCCCU